UAUGCAUGGUACAACCAUGGCAACAAGAGGGCAACUCCAAAUGGAUCCAUUCUGGGCUACUCUGAAAUGAGAAGCCAGGGAAGGGGAUGGGGCUGCACCAGCACAGAGACUCCACUCCACUCUGGACCCAGCAAACCAAGGAGGCAGCUGCAUCUACACUCCGCUCAUGGUUCCGGCUCUGCUGGUUCUCAAGCAGCACGCGAGUGUCCUCCAGGUCCCAGUGGCCAGGACUGUAACAGCAGCAGAUGCAGGAAGCCAUGAACCAGCUGGUCAUCCCCCACCCCCAGGAUCACCUGACGUUGUGAUCACCCACGGCGCAGCUCCUUCCUGGACGUCAGCUCUGACUCCAGCCUCUCCUCACACUGCUGCAGACGCUUGCGGAGGAACUCAUUUUCCAUCUGAGCACAGUCC